rnacentral:rRNA from 1 species
UACGUAGGGGGCAAGCGUUGUCCGGAUUUAUUGGGCGUAAAGAGCGUGUAGGCGGCUUUACAGGUCCGUUGUGAAAACUCGAGGCUCAACCUCGAGACGCCGGUGGAAACCGUAAAGCUAGAGUCCGGAAGAGGAGAGUGGAAUUCCUGGUGUAGCGGUGAAAUGCGCAGAUAUCGGGAGGAACACCGAUGGCGAAGGCAGCACUCUGGGCCGGCACUGACGCUGAGGAGCGAAAGCGUGGGGAGCGAACAGG